UAGCUUAGUGGUCAGAGCAUUGGCGCGUAAAGCCAAAGAGCCCGGGUUCGAUUCCCGG
rnacentral:tRNA from 1 species